UGGGGAAUUUUGGACAAUGGGCGAAAGCCUGAUCCAGCAAUGCCGCGUGUGUGAAGAAGGCCUUCGGGUUGUAAAGCACUUUUGUCCGGAAAGAAAUCCUUGGCUCUAAUACAGUCGGGGGAUGACGGUACCGGAAGAAUAAGCACCGGCUAACUACGUGCCAGCAGCCGCGGUAAUACGUAGGGUGCAAGCGUUAAUCGGAAUUACUGGGCGUAAAGCGUGCGCAGGCGGUUUGCUAAGACCGAUGUGAAAUCCCCGGGCUCAACCUGGGAACUGCAUUGGUGACUGGCAGGCUAGAGUAUGGCAGAGGGGGGUAGAAUUCCACGUGUAGCAGUGAAAUGCAUAGAGAUGUGGAGGAAUACCGAUGGCGAAGGCAGCCCCCUGGGCCAAUACUGACGCUCAUGCACGAAAGCGUGGGGAGCAAACAGGAUUAGAUACCCUGGUAGUCCACGCCCUAAAACGAUGUCAACUAGUUGUUGGGGAUUCAUUUCCUUAGUAACGUAGCUAACGCGUGAAGUUGACCGCCUGGGGAGUACGGUCGCAAGAUUAAAACUCAAAUGAAUUGACGGGGUCAUAGCUGUUUCCU
rnacentral:rRNA from 1 species